UCGGACGUGGGCCAGUGGUCGGCCAGCAGCUUCCAAACCUGCCAACAGGGGUUCGAUUCCUCUCGUCCGGGC
rnacentral:tRNA from 1 species